AUCCUUUGGCAGACGACUUGAAUGGGAACAGGGUGCUGUAAGCAGUAGAGUAGCCUCGUUGCUACGAUCUGCUGAGGCUAAGCCUUUGUUCUAUAGAUUUGUUUGACACAGUCAAACCACUUCUUCCCAGUACGCACCCAAUGGAGGUGUGUACCAUCGACAGUCCCCACACACGCACAAGUCCCAGCGUCGGCCAGCGCGUAGGUGGAUCUUAUCCUAUUCCCCUUUUCCUUCUCCUUUCCCUUCCCUUUCCCUUGCCCUGCUUCCCUCUUCCCUAUCCCUUACCCCCUCCCUCGCCCUCUCUUGGCCUCGCACAUGCGCGCGUGCACUUGCUCUCCAGCACUUGCACGCGCGCGCCCAGACGCUUGCCCCCCCGAACUUUCCCCUUUAUUACCGUGCCUACGACACUAGUCACCAUCUGCGGCCACAGAACCAUGAAAGCACCGUAUCCCGUCCGAUCUGCGAAGUUCAAGCAAU
rnacentral:misc_RNA from 1 species